rnacentral:lncRNA from 1 species
UGAGGUUUAAUAAACAAAAGAGAAAGACUUGGACAGUCAUGGAUCAAAAGCAGAGGCGCUAUCUAUCUUCAGGUCCAGGUUUUAUGUUAUCCUCAUUUUACAGAUCUGGAAGCUGGAGGAGAGACACUAAGCGAUUGUCCAGGGUGUGAAAGCAGGAACUGUGAGCAGGUGGCUGCCUGGCUAGAGCAAGUAAAGGAUGCCCUGCUACUGAUCAUUUCUGCCCUCCCUGUUAGCGAAUAUUGGAGCUGCAGAGAUUUAUUCACAAGAAUACGUCAAGCCAUUGCAGCACCAAAAAAAACACUGCCAACAAUUGUUUUCUUUUGCAUCAGUUGGAUCCCCACUGAAGGAACAUCCAGCUCCAUGAAGUACUUGAUGUUCCUAGAAGAAAUGGUGCUUCUAAGUCCACAUCAUGCUUCUCGUUAGUAGGAUAGUGCUGUGGUGGAGCCCUAGCAGCAGUUGUGAAACUUUGCAAUGUGGAUAAAGACUUUUUUGUACCUCUGACAGUCACCUGGCUGAAAGGAUCAGAACUUGGAUAAAAAAUAGGGAAAAAACGUCUUACUACUUUUGCAGCUUGUCACUUGCAGCCAGGAGCAUCUGGAUCCAAUUUUGGUAUGCAAAUAAGUGACUGGCAGUGCACAAUUAAGGAGAGCAAUAGUACAUGAAAACUAAUUGGGCUUUGUUAUGACCAUGGUAUUUUAAAGCACAUAAGCAGAUUAUGGCCUGCACUGUACUAAAACUAAUAGCAUAUUUAAUCAUCAGAAAGAAAACAGGAACUAAAACUUGUUUGGUGCAACAGGAAAAAAAUAAACAUGAAAAGAAAUAGUCA